rnacentral:lncRNA from 1 species
AUUUUUCUUUUAGGUAUGAGGUAAAUUAGUAGGUUUCUAGUCAUAGAACUUGGUUAAAACUAAGAACCCUAUAGCUAGAGAUAUUCUUACUUUGUUUUAUAUUUUAUACCUAUACCUGGAAGAAAAAGUUAUGAGUAAUUCAAAGCAAUAAGGAACUUAAAAUCAAAACAAAAUUCUCCUUUUGUUUUAUCCCAUAUCAAAUAAACCGAAGAACUCUGAGUUGCUGUUUCAUUCUACUUCGUUUCUCAUAAAUGGUUGUGUACUAGGUAUUCUGCUGGACAUAGAGGUAGAAAGAACAACAAAACAAUCCUAUGCUCAGAAAGACCAGUCUAGCAGUUAGGACAAACAUGUAAGCAGUAAUGAGAGUAUGUAGAGCUUUAUGAUAGUGAUUGGAGUUUUAUAGCAAGACAAAGAAGAUGAUCUUGAGCCAGUCACUAAGGAAUGCAUUCUAGAUAUUUGAAGUAGAAUGCAUUCCAGACUAAGAGGAAUCAUGACAAUAAAGGCAGCUGUGUGGUAAUGGAAAACUCACUGUACUCUGAGUAAAAAAGACUUUGGUUUGAAAUAUGUCUUUGCUCCCUGAUCCAAUUUGAAUCAGGGAGAUUAUACCAGAUUCUUUGAGUCUUUGUUUCCUAAUCUGUUUGAUGUAAAUAAUACACACUUUCUUUACAAAGAAUCACAAGGAUUAAAUGAAAUAAUACACAUGAAAAUACUUAGGGUCUCAAUAAAUUUGCACACAUAUCAAGUCUAAAUAUUUUAGCUUUCAGUGUGCCUGGUCUUAACUGUUUUUUAAAUUUUAUUUUCAUUUGAAAUCUCUU